GCCGUCGUAGCUCAGCGGUAGAGCAACGCACUUGUAAUGCGUGGGUCGGGAGUUCAAUUCUCCCCGACGGCU
rnacentral:tRNA from 1 species